rnacentral:rRNA from 1 species
GAUGAACGCUGGCGGCGUGCUUAACACAUGCAAGUCGAACGGGAAACCUUUUAUUGAAGCUUCGGCAGAUUUAGCUGGUUUCUAGUGGCGGACGGGUGAGUAACGCGUGGGUAACCUGCCUUAUACAGGGGGAUAACAACCAGAAAUGGUUGCUAAUACCGCAUAAGCGCACAGGACCGCAUGGUCCGGUGUGAAAAACUCCGGUGGUAUAAGAUGGACCCGCGUUGGAUUAGCUAGUUGGCAGGGUAACGGCCUACCAAGGCGACGAUCCAUAGCCGGCCUGAGAGGGUGAACGGCCACAGUGGGACUGAGACCCGGCCCAGACUCCUACGGGAGGCAGCAGUGGGGAAUAUUGCACAAUGGGGGAAACCCUGAUGCAGCGACGCCGCGUGAAGGAAGAAGUAUCUCGGUAUGUAAACUUCUAUCAGCAGGGAAGAUAGUGACGGUACCUGACGAAGAAGCCCCGGCUAACUACGUG